UGGCCGAUACGCAUACGCGUGCACGAUCUGCUCAUUCAAAAUUUCCAAAAAUUCAAAAAUGUCUUCACUUUAUCGUGGAAAUUUGCUAAUUUUCGGAAACAUAAACUUUUUAGUCGCCGUUUUAUGUAAUUUCCCAAGCCGAUAGUGGGAUUUUUACUUGAAAAACUCGAAUUUGCGAUUUUCAAACCGGUGGACGUUUACUGUCAAGAGGAAGUUGUCACCUCAUACGUCCCGACGAGCAUUUUCGCAAAACCGUUUUAAGCAAGUGACAUUCGGGAGUUUUAUGAACCAAUUUUCAGGAGUUUGGGAAUUUUGUAAUUAACUAUUUGGAUAUGGAAAUCGAGUCUGUAAUGAUCCCAGCUGUUACCAAACUUUAUGUGCUUGAGGGAUUGUGUGGCAGGAUUUUUCUACGCAAACAACCGGCAAAAACGGGAAAAGCAACAAAGUCGAUUGAAUUUGAGGAACAAUCAAGAUUUUAUAUCAAUUGGAACUAUGUAUUAACCAAAUCAAAUAUAUUUUUUUAAUUGUGAAA